rnacentral:tRNA from 1 species
GGAGAGGUGGCCGAGUGGAUUAAGGCAGCUGUCCUGAAAACAGCCACUCGAAGGGGUCGUGGGUUCGAAUCCCACCCUCUCCGCCA